rnacentral:lncRNA from 1 species
CAGGGCAAUAUUCCCCAUAAAGCUUAUGCUGAUCCCCACCAGGAUUUUGAGGUGAUUUUGAACCUCACUGAACUUUUUGAUAAGUGCUAUCAAGCCACAUCCAACAGCCUUGUUCAUUCUCUAGGCAAACCUGCAGUCAGUAGAAUGAAAAUUGUUGUAGCCAUUCUGGAGCUGCCACUGCUCUCUAAAGAUUUAAUUAAUUGAGCAUGUGUUUUAAGCGUUAAGCCAUUCCAAAGGCUGAUUUAUAAACAAGGCAUUUUCUGUUCCUAUUGCAGAGGCCAGUUUAGCAAUGCGCCUUUCCAGCCUCCCGUUUCUGCUGAUAAACCUGCCCGUGCGGUGCCAGGGAUUGGGGCUGUCCGCGUCCGACCUGGGCAAUGGUUUAUUGUAUCUGAGCUGGGACAAGACGGGCUGCACAAAUGCGUGUUGUGAACUGCUGCCCUGUGCUGUGUGGGAUAAAACCCCUCAGUUCCUAAAUGUGUUUAGAUUUUUCUUUGGUGGGGCUGGAGUGGAAGCAAGGAAUGAAUGUGGUCUCCUGACAAAAGACUGCUUGGAGCUUUUGUUCUUCACCUGUUUUGCACCCACCCUCCCACCGCCAAACAGCAUGUGGACCCUUGUGUACAAUGUCUGGGGACAGCACAACUGCUCUGCGCUGCUCUUUCAAGCCCCCCUUCCUAGCAAACGUGGAGCCCUCCAGGGUGACAAUAUGGUGGCAGAUGGCUGGUAACAUAGAGGCUCAGGGAGGACUGUGCCAGGGUUUCUUCUUGAGGUCUUUCUUUUGGUGUCCUCCAAGGCUCAUCAUACACCAGAGUUCUGGAACAUCCACCUUGCUUGCCUUGGACCGCCUUGGUGGAUCUUGGUCUCCAGGAGAUAAGGUUCUGCUUCUCACCCCCAUCAGCUCUUGUCACCUUUCUGCUCCCGUCACCUUUCUGCCUGCAUCCCCACGGCACCCAGGAGACUGGACUUCAGCCAUCCUCCUCUUCAGCUGCCUUGGGGCUGGGCCCUCAGGAGGACGCACUCCCCAGUCUCACCCAGUCACCUCCUGACACCAUGGGGCAGAAUGGGGCUCUACUAAGGCCAGUGGCACCGGUCUGUGCUGCACCCAAGUGCAGCUCCAUGAUGGAGCAUCCAGAUUCGCCCUGGACCAGAGAGAUUCCCUUCUGCUCUCAGCCCAGACACACUGUCCAGUGAGGAAAGGGCAAAAGUAGCAGGGCAGGUUGGAUGCCAGCAGCCCUGUGGGGAAAAGUUCAGCGCUGCCUUGUAAGACAGGUGGCUGCUUUGAGGGAGCUGGGGAUGGCUGUGUGGAGGUGUCCGGCUAGACCAUGCUGGACCAGGAGGAGGAGACCCUCGCUCUAUGCCUAGUGAGAACCUAUGGGUUGAGCCCUGUGAAUCCUGUUCAAACUCAGGAGGUGAUAAAAUGGGUCUUCAUCCACCAUUUGGGAUGCAAAAGUAUGUAUUUAUAGCAAAUAUGUUCGGGCAAAUGUGUGUGGGUGCAAUAAAAUGAACUUUCUCAAACUUUUUGCA